rnacentral:rRNA from 1 species
AGUGAACGCUGGCGGUAGGCCUAACACAUGCAAGUCGAACGGCAGCACAGUAAGAGCUUGCUCUUACGGGUGGCGAGUGGCGGACGGGUGAGGAAUACAUCGGAAUCUACUUUUUCGUGGGGGAUAACGUAGGGAAACUUACGAUAAUACCGCAUACGACCUACGGGUGAAAGCAGGGGAUCUUCGGACCUUGCGCGAUUGAAUGAGCCGAUGUCGGAUUAGCUAGUUGGCGGGGUAAAGGCCCACCAAGGCGACGAUCCGUAGCUGGUCUGAGAGGAUGAUCAGCCACACUGGAACUGAGACACGGUCCAGACUCCUACGGGAGGCAGCAGUGGGGAAUAUUGGACAAUGGGCGCAAGCCUGAUCCAGCCAUACCGCGUGGGUGAAGAAGGCCUUCGGGUGGUAAAGCCCUUUUGUUGGGAAAGAAAAGCAGCAGGUUAAUACCCCGCUGUUCGGACGGUACCCAAAGAAUAAGCACCGGCUAACUUCGU